rnacentral:rRNA from 1 species
ACGUACACUCCUGCGGGAGGCAGCAGUAGGGAAUCUUCCACAAUGGGUGCAAACCUGAUGGAGCAAUGCCGCGUGAGUGAAGAAGGUCUUCGGAUCGUAAAGCUCUGUUGUUAGAGAAGAACACGUGCUAGGUAACUACUAGCGCCUUGACGGUAUCUAACCAGAAAGUCACGGCUAACUACGUGCCAGCAGCCGCGGUAAUACGUAGGUGACAAGCGUUGUCCGGAUUUAUUGGGCGUAAAGGGAGCGCAGGCGGUCUGUUUAGUCUAAUGUGAAAGCCCACGGCUUAACCGUGGAACGGCAUUGGAAACUGACAGACUUGAAUGUAGAAGAGGAAAAUGGAAUUCCAAGUGUAGCGGUGGAAUGCGUAGAUAUUUGGAGGAACACCAGUGGCGAAGGCGAUUUUCUGGUCUAACAUUGACGCUGAGGCUCGAAAGCGUGGGGAGCGAACAGGAUUAGAAACCCUUGUAGUCC